rnacentral:rRNA from 1 species
AACGUGAAGUCCUUCGGGAUGAGUAAAGUGGCGCACGGGUGAGUAAUGCGUAGAUAAUCUGCCUGGUGAUCUGGGAUAACAUCUCGAAAGGGGUGCUAAUACCGGAUAAGCCCACGGAGUCUCCGGACUUUGCGGGAAAAGGGGGGGACCUUCGGGCCUUCUGUCACCAGAUGAGUCUACGUACCAUUAGCUAGUUGGUGGGGUAAGAGCCCACCAAGGCUACGAUGGUUAGCUGGUCUGAGAGGAUGAUCAGCCACACUGGAACUGAGACACGGUCCAGACUCCUACGGGAGGCAGCAGUGGGGAAUUUUGCGCAAUGGGGGAAACCCUGACGCAGCAACGCCGCGUGAGUGAUGAAGGCCUUCGGGUCGUAAAGCUCUGUCAGAGGGAAAGAAAUGUGGGUGGCUAAUAUCCAUUCCGCUUGACGGUACCCUCAAAGGAAGCACCGGCUAACUCCGUGCCAGCAGCCGCGGUAAUACGGAGGGUGCGAGCGUUGUUCGGAAUUAUUGGGCGUAAAGCGCGUGUAGGCGGUUUUAUAAGUCUGAUGUGAAAGCCCCGGGCUCAACCUGGGAAGUGCAUUGGAAACUGUAAGACUUGAGUACGGGAGAGGGCAGUGGAAUUCCUAGUGUAGGAGUGAAAUCCGUAGAUAUUAGGAGGAACACCGGUGGCGAAGGCGGCUGCCUGGACCGAUACUGACGCUGAGACGCGAAAGCGUGGGGAGCA